CUAAGCUCCNUCAACCGGCCGUGUAAGUUUUCGGUUAAAUCUAUACGCUCAACGUAUAGGCUGCCGGGAAUACUGCAUAGCUAGGGAGUGGGAGAGGUAGACGGUACUCGGUAGGAAGGGGUAAAAUCCUUUGAUCUAUUGAUGACCACCUGUGGCGAAGGCGGUCUACUAGAACACGUCCGACGGUCGAGGGAUGAAAGCUGGGGGAGCAAACCGGGAUUAGAUACCCGGGUAGUCCCAGCUGUAAACAAUGCAAAAUCAGUGAUGCCUCUGGCUUGUGGCCAGUGCAGUNCCGC
rnacentral:rRNA from 1 species